AUUGAACGCUGGCGGCAGGCCUAACACAUGCAAGUCGAGCGGAUGAAGGGAGCUUGCUCCUGGAUUCAGCGGCGGACGGGUGAGUAAUGCCUAGGAAUCUGCCUGGUAGUGGGGGAUAACGUCCGGAAACGGGCGCUAAUACCGCAUACGUCCUGAGGGAGAAAGUGGGGGAUCUUCGGACCUCACGCUACCAGAUGAGCCUAGGUCGGAUUAGCUAGUUGGUGGGGUAAAGGCCUACCAAGGCGACGAUCCGUAACUGGUCUGAGAGGAUGAUCAGUCACACUGGAACUGAGACACGGUCCAGACUCCUACGGGAGGCAACAGUGGGGAAUAUUGGACAAUGGGCGAAAGCCUGAUCCAGCCAUGCCGCGUGUGUGAAGAAGGUCUUCGGAUUGUAAAGCACUUUAAGUUGGGAGGAAGGGCAGUAAGUUAAUACCUUGCUGUUUUGACGUUACCAACAGAAUAAGCACCGGCUAACUUCGUG
rnacentral:rRNA from 1 species